UGCUGCGUCAGCUCGGCCAAGAGCCCCGUCGCCUGCCGCGCGACGGGCCCCUUCGACUUCAGCUCGGCGAUCGUCGCCUCGAGCCGCGC
rnacentral:tRNA from 2 species